CAUCCCGAGAGAGAUAGUCAUAGUUAGUGUUACAUACUUCGUUAUUGACCAGAAGAAAUGCAUAGUGAAUGUCGCAAAUUUACUACCUACAUUAGUUUCGUUAUGGUGGCUUGCUUAGCCCAUGGGCUGUGAUGUCUGUGAACGAGGAACAAUAAGUGUUUUGCUGUCAUCUGAUGUAGAGCUCCUUCAGUCUGUAGCAGGAGCCAUUGGUUCAUAUUAUUAAGUUCUUCAGAUUAAAGCUGCCCCCGGUUGUUACAUAAUUUCGUGUGUUGUUACGUUGGGAUGAAAGGGAAUGCCAAAUUCUGUUGCAUUUGCUGCGGCCAUUUAGUGUGCUUCGAGCAUUCACCUAUUCGUACCGCUCUACAGAUCGCUAAAUCGUGUAUUGACAGAAGAACAUAGUAAUAGGCGUGUUUCAGUGUACUUUCGUAAAAACAUUUAGCAACAGGGUUUUGGAGAUGUGUAACAAACGAAGUAGGUUCAGUAAGAGCUGCUAGUACGUGUAUUUUUCACUAAGUGCAUUAUUCGAUAUGAGAGAAUAGAAGAUUCGUCAUCAGUGGUACGCACGUCAGAGAAAACGUAGGCCUAUACAAGACUAUAGUCCUGGACAAUUUGAAAACCAUUUCAGUUAAAGAAGAAAAAACAGAUGAGAUGUGUGCUAAGCCAGACAACAUGAAGUGACUGUAAUGGCAGAGAUGAAGGCUGAGAGAGGGAGUUUUGUGAGCGACCUGCGCAUGCUGCUGGAAGCUUAAAAUGGCGCAGACGUGACUCUGGCGCCCAGCAGCUCGGAGCAGUCAGCACAGUCACAUCUUGGCAGGGAGGAGCCCCGUCUUCAAUGCCAUGUUGUGUUUCUUGCAUGUCACUUCACAACAUAGCUUCGAACACGGGGCUUCUUGCUGGCAUGUCGCAGAUUGAGAUGCAAGAAGCAUGCAGCCACUUAGUAGAGGUAACUGACAUAAGAGAAGCUCCCUUACAGCAGUUGUGAAACAGUCCCUAACUCUACCGUAGCCUGCAUUAUAGUCCAGCAACACUGUGGACUGAACUGUCCAAAAUAACAGCAAGUGUGUUACAUUGGGAUAUGGAGUAUCUUGCGUGGAUUAUUUUGCCAUCUCUUGACCCUGAAUAUUUAUAAAAGAACCAACUCGCGAUAAUAAAAAAACUACACACCUUUCAUUAAUUGCAGCUAAAGGAUAAUUUGAAACGUAAUACAAAAAACUAUCAUAAUGUCAAUCAGAUUCAUUUAGGACUACCGUAUUUACUCGAAUCUAAGCCGCACUUUUUUCAAUUUUUUAUUAUCCAAAAAACCGCCUGCGGCUUAGAAUCGAGCGCAAAGCAAGCGGAAGUUCUGAAAAAUGUUGGUAGGUGCCGCAACAACUAACUUCUGCCGUCAAAUAUAUGUAGCGCGACACAGGCAUGCUUUGUAGGCACAAAGAUAAAUACUGGCGCCAAAACCUCUGCGUCAGUAAAUAAAUUUAAAAAAAAAAGUGGAAGACGAGCUUUUUUCUCCGCCCCGUGUUUAGACCACUGCAUUUAUCCAACGAAGUAAAUACAAAUUCCGUAUUGUUCAUCUUCGAAUGUAGCAGAAUUUCAAUGUACUACGAAAAUCCGUCUGGCGAGACUGUUUGAGAUGUUUGUCAAUAUGGCCAACUUUACGUUCUGAAUUUUUUCCUACCCCUGAGAAGAGAUGGUUGCUAAUAGGAACCUGAUGAAAUGUGAAUCACAUGCAGUAUUCUCUUCACCAUAAGAAUAAUACGAAUAUAAACAUUUUGCCAUGUAUUCUUUCGUGUUUGCUGCUAUCUCAUUUAAAUCCUGUCUGCCUAAUAAACUGCGAAACUUGAGUGAGGCAACAGCAAACGCGGAAGAAUAUACGUAUCGUGUCAUGUUUAUAUUCGUAUUAUUCUUAUGCCUAAUAGUGAUACAGUCAGAAAUGAAGCACAGCAACUGACUAGAUUUUUAAAUCUAAGAUGACUCUGAUUUCUGUGCAGAAUUUGAUGUACUAAAGAAGCGGCCGCAAAGAUUUUCAAACGGAGAAACAUUUUUGCCUAACUCUCGUUCAGAACAUGUUGUAUCAUACGCAGUCUAUUAUUUGGUUCUCGUUGAUCAUUAUCAAAGAAAGCAGCAGUGUAAGUAACAACAAAUAGCAGUCUCUUGCCAUUGUUUCGCUGAUGAGACAAUUCCUCUCCUUUUUUUUUUAUUGUAGGCGGUGUUAGCGCGCACAAAAGCAAGCCAUGCCGCGAGCGGCGACAGACCCUAAACACGCACUAUCAGAAUGGGACGAACAGUACAGUAAUGCAUUUUCAGCUUAGUGACGUGAGCACCUAGAACAAAGAAAACGGCACUUAUCAGAUCGAAGCAAAAUAAGCAAUCAGUUCAAACCAGACGAAGCACGUGAAAAAGGAAGGGUACCCGUAUAAAUAUGGACGGAGUGCCUGACACAUAGCAAUGGCUACCUGGUAAAGCUUAAGACUCGAAGCAAACGAAUGUAGCUGUAUCGUCAUUCAUUCGACCUAAAUUGUGUCUCAUAUUUCAAUGGACCAACAUUGUUUCGAUUUGGAGGUGCGGCCUAAAACUUUUCUCUCCCCUUGAAUUUAGAGUCUCAAUUUCAGGUGCGGCUUAGAUUCGAGUGCGGCUUAGAUUUGAGUAAAUACAGUAAAUAAUUCUUUUUCAUGUUUCCCUUUGUGAUAUUAUACACCAAAGAGCCAAAGAAAUUGGGACACCUGCUUAAUAUCUUUUAGGGCCCUCGAGAGUAUGUAAAUGCACUGCAGCGUGACAUGGCGUGGACUACACUAACAUCUGUAGUAGUGCUCGACAGAACUGACACAACGAAUGUUGCACGGCUGUCCAUAAGAGUGUAAGGGGUGGAGAUCUCCUCUGAACAGCACAUUGCAAGGCAUCCCAGAUAUGCUCAAUAAUGUUCAUCUCUGAGAAGUUUGAUGGCCAGCAGAAGUGUUUAAACUCGGAAGAAUGUUCCUGGAGCCACUCUAGCAAUUCUGGUCGUGUGGGGUGUCACAUUGUACUGCUGAAACUGUUAAAGUCUGUUGGAAUGCACAGUAGACACAAAUGGAUGCAGGUAAUCAGACAGGGUGCUUACUUACAUGUCACCUGUCAGAAUUGUAUUUAGACGCACAGGGGGUCCCACAUCACUAAAACUGCACAUGCCCCACACCAUUAGAGAGCCUCCAUCAGCUUGAACAGUCCCCUGCUGACAUGCAGGGUCCAUGGAUUCAUGAGGUUGUUUCCAUACCCAUACACGUCCAUCAGCUUGAUAUGAUUUGAAACCAGACUCCUCCAACUGGGCAACGUGUUUCCAGUCAUAAAGUCUAAUGUCAGUGUUGUUGGGCCCAGGCAAACAUGAAGCUUUGUUGAAGGCCCAGCAUUGAAAUCUGCAACAAUUUGUGGAAGGGUUGCACUUCAGUCACCUCGAAUGAUUCUCUUCAGUUGUCUUUGGUCCCAUUCUACAGGAUGUUAUUCCAGCCACAGAGAUAUGAGAGAUUUGAUGUUUUACCAACUCCCUCAUAUUCACAGUAUACUCGUGAAAUGGUCAUAGGGAAAAUCCCCGAUUCAUCUCGGAGACGCUGUCCCAUUGGUCGUCCCCCAGACUAUAACACCAUGUUCAAACUCACUUAAAUCUUGAUAACCUGCCAUUGUAGCAGCAGUAACAGAUCUAUCAACUGCACCAGACACUUGUUGCCUUAAAUAGGCGUUGCUGACUGUAGCGUCGUAAUCUACCUGUUUACAUGUAUCUGUAUUUGAAUACACAUGCCUAUUCAAGUUUCUUUGGUGCUUCAGUGUACAUCUAGCAACAGCCAAAUCCAAAAGCGUCAAUGGAGAGCUUACUAAGAGUGUAGUUCUCCUGCUCGUCAACAAACAAAAUUACUCAGAUGUGCUGUAAUAUGUUAAUUUGUCUUUAAGUUUAAUUGAUGUUGGUCAACUUCACCAUGAGGAAAGUAAAGUUGCCCGGUCAUUACAAGAGCGAAGCUGUGUGCAGGUGUAGAUAUACCUGCAGUUGCAGGGAGUGAGAAAUGUUUUUUGUGCUGACAACUCAUAGGCAUGUAUGCCUCAUACAGAUCAGCUGAUAUUGUAUAAAUUUGAAAUGGAAGUAACAUGACUUCGCCAUUGUGCAUUACAGAGGCUGUCCCCUUCGAAUGUGAUACAUACUUGUAGCAAGGAAUAUGAAAUAAAAUUGACACUAUUCCGAUACAUUAUUCUGUUUUCUUUUUUCUUUUUUUUUUAUCUGUAUAUGCAAUAUCAUGUUGUCUGCAUGCAUCAUCUAGAGGAUUUAUUCCUUGAACGCCUUCAGCUAAUCUUUUUUCUGAUUUUGUUCCUGGACCACAAUAAUUAUGACCAGAGGUAUGCAUUUUGAAUGGUAAUUUAUUAAUUAAAGUAUUAACUAAUACUUUUCCAUAUUAUUCAUUUUUCUAAAAUGUAUGUGACAAGUU